CUUUCGGGUCCCUAUUGCAGCCCCCAGAUGAGCCAGUAGUAUUUUCCUUAUAUGAUCGGGUCCCACUGCGGGCGGCGCAGCUUGCCCGGAGCCUGAGAGGAUUAUGAAAACGUGGCGAGCGAAGUGGGGCCAGGGGACCUGGAG
rnacentral:snoRNA from 1 species